rnacentral:rRNA from 1 species
UACGUAGGUGGCAAGCGUUGUCCGGAAUUAUUGGGCGUAAAGCGCGCGCAGGUGGUUUCUUAAGUCUGGUGUUUAAACCCGAGGCUCAACUUCGGGUCGCACUGGAAACUGGGGAACUUGAGUGCAGAAGAGGAGAGUGGAAUUCCACGUGUAGCGGUGAAAUGCGUAGAUAUGUGGAGGAACACCAGUGGCGAAGGCGACUCUCUGGGCUGUAACUGACGCUGAGGCGCGAAAGCGUGGGGAGCAAACAGG